GACGAACGCUGGCGGCGUGCUUAACACAUGCAAGUCGAACGGAAAGGCCCUGCUUUUGUGGGGUGCUCGAGUGGCGAACGGGUGAGUAACACGUGAGUAACCUGCCCUUGACUUUGGGAUAACUUCAGGAAACUGGGGCUAAUACCGGAUAGGAGCUCCUGCUGCAUGGUGGGGGUUGGAAAGUUUCGGCGGUUGGGGAUGGACUCGCGGCUUAUCAGCUUGUUGGUGGGGUAGUGGCUUACCAAGGCUUUGACGGGUAGCCGGCCUGAGAGGGUGACCGGCCAAAUGGGAAUGGAGUGCGGGCCCGGCCCCCACGGGAGGGAAGCGGGGGGGAUUAUGGAACAAUGGGGGGAAGCCGGAGGCAGCAACCCGCGUGCGGGAUGACGGCCUUCGGGUUGUAAACCGCUUUCGCCUGUGACGAAGCGUGAGUGACGGUAAUGGGUAAAGAAGCACCGGCUAACUACGUG
rnacentral:rRNA from 1 species